GGGCCUCCGGAAGUGGCCUAUGUUCCUCGGCGUGCUUGGGUGCUGAGCUGCUAGUGAUCGUGAAGGGCUGCAGGGACAGUUGAAGGGCAAAGACCGGCGUGUUGGUUCAUGCAAAGGAAAUAAAAACUGGAUCGGUGACAUUCCAGGAUGUGGCUGUGGACUUCACCCCAGAAGAGUGGCAGCUGCUGGACUGUGAUCAGAGAACCUUGUAUUGGGAUGUGAUGCUGGAGAACUUUAGAAACUUCACCGCAGUGGAAGUUAUCUGCUUACUUGAUGAUGCACGAGAGAGACAGGAGGGAAGCAAAGACAAUUUUUUGAAUCAAGAUAUGUUCACCUUUAAGAAAACACUGACCAUGAAGAGAGUCCAAAAUCGUAACCUGAGUAUAAAAUUUAUUUCUUCAAGACAAACACAACAUAAAUGUGAGUCAAAUGGAAAGAGUCUGCAACCUAAUUCACACUGGCUUAGUUAUAAUAAAAGUUAUGCCGGAGAAAAUUCUUAUGAAUACAAGGACUGUGGAAAAGCCUUCAAAAACAAGUUUUGUCUUAUUAGACAUGAGAAAAAAGCACAGAAGGAAAAAAAGCUUUGGCUGCACUGAAUGUGGGAAAGCCUUCCAAAAGAGGUCUCAUCUUGUUACACAUGAAAAAAAGCAUACAAGAGAAAAAAACCCUUUGAAUUCAAUGACUGUGGGAAAGCCUUUAACAGUAAGGGACACCUUAUAGCCCAUCAAAAAACUCAUAGUGGAGAGAGAUCCUUUGUGUGCAGUGAUUGUGGGAAAGCAUUUGUGCACUAAGCACAACUGGUGGUCCCCCAGAGACUUCACACUAGAGAGAAGCCUUAUGAAUGCCAUCCGUGUGGGUAGUUGUUCACUCAGAACUCCUCCUUUACCCAACAUGUGAAAUCUCAUGCACUCGAGAACUCGUUUGAAUGUAAAGAAUGCGGGAAAACCUUUGAUUACAGUUCAUCCCUUUAUAAACGUUCUAGAUUUCAUAUAGGAGAGAAAUCCUACAGAUGUAGAGAAUGUGGCAAAGCCUCAGUGCUUGUCAUGCAUCAGAGGAUUCGUACAGGCGAGAGACCCCACGGGUGUACGAACUGUGGAAAAGCCCUCAUCAAGAAGUCACGUCUCCUUAAACAUUACUUAACUCCUACAGCAGAGCAACAAAACAAAUGUAGUGCAUGUGGGAGAUGUUUUAACCGGAAGACACAUCUCACUGUCCAUUCACUGUAGUGAAUGUGGGAGAACGUGCAGUUAGCCUUUUAAUAAAGCAGCAAAGAAUUAAUAAUGAGAAAAAAAACACACCAAUUGGAUGAAUGUGGAAAAGCAUGUUCUGAAAUUCAUAUUCUGUAAGUGGUACUGCUAAUUUUAUUGAGAAGAUAACAGAAGAUUUUGAGUUUACAAGUUGAGAAUUUUACUGCAUAGCAUAAAACUGAAGAAGUUGUAAACAAUUUAAAAAUCAAGACAUCAAGCUGACUAUAAUUACAUAUAUGUAUUGCCCCAAUUUAUGAUUUUUAUACAAGUUAUACAAGUGCAUUGCUUAAGAAAUUUGUAUAACCAUAGGUUUGAAAUAUGUACUAUGCACAUUACACGAAAUUAUAUCUGUUAUGACGAUGGUUGCACAGCAUUGUGAUUGUACUUAAUGCCAUGAAUUACUUAAAAUGGUUAAAAUAGUACAUUUUAUGGUGUGUAUAUUUUAUUGCAAGAAAAAACAUAUAAAUAAAACUUGAAACC